rnacentral:misc_RNA from 1 species
AUGCAGCCGCACGAAUCAGCCGACGAAGAUGGUGUGACUAAGUCCAGUGUUGGAGAGAUGGCUUCCAAGGAGGAAAUUACAGCAAAAAUUGAACCAUUGACUGAAGAGUCUGGCAACCCCAGAAAUGAUGUUCUCCAAGAUCCUGAAUGCAGAGAAUUCUUUGGACUUGGGGAUAAAUUCAGUGAAAAGGAUCAGAACCUCUUUAAAAGAAGACAGCACAACUGUGAUGAAUGUGGGCAAAGCUUUGCUUGUAGUACAGGCCUUAUUAGGCAUCGAAGAACCCACUGGGAGAAACCCUAUGAAUGUGAUCAGUGUGGAAAGGCCUUUAAUGUGAGCUCAGCCCUGGUUCUGCAUCAGAGAAUUCAUACUGGGGAGAAGCCCUAUCCUUGUAAUUGGUGCAUUAAAAGUUUCAGUCGGAGCUCAGACCUUAUUAAACAUCAAAGAGUCCACACUGGUGAAAAACCUUACAAAUGUGAUGAAUGUGGGAAAGCCUUCAAAAUACUCACCAUAUCCAGAGCCCUUUAUGUCCUGCAAAAGCAGGAAGAAGAGGUCCUCAAAUUCCUUACAUAGGGACUUCCCUGGAACCAUUUAGGAAGCACUUAGGUUGACUUCCAAAUGGAACAGUGAAUCUACAAAAGGAAAAAUUGAUGGCGUCUACCUCAUAAAUCUGAAGAGAAUCUGGGAGAAAGUUCUGGCAGCUUGUGCCAUGCCAUUGAUGCCACUGAAAACUCGGCUAACGUCAGUGUCCUGUCCUCCAGACAUACUGGCCACCAAGCUGUGCUGAAGUUUGCUGCUGCCUUGAGGCCACUCCUAUUGCUGACUGUUUCAGUCCUGGAGAUUUCACUCACCAGACUCAGGUAGUCUUCUGGGAGUGGGGACUUCCGGUGGUUGCUGAUUCUAGGGCUGCCCACUAGCCUCUCACAGAGGCCUCUUAUGUUAACCUGCCUACCACUGCUCUGUGUAACACUGACUCAACUCUGCGCCCUGUGGGCAUCGCUGUUCCCUCCAACAACAAGGGAGCUCACUCAGUGGGUCUGAGGUGAUGGGUGCUGGCCUAGGAAGUUGUGCACAUGCGUGGCACCAGCUCAUGAACACCCACAGGAGGUCACACCUGAUCUCAGCUUCCACACAGACCCAGAAGAGAUUGAAGAGGAGGAGCAGGCUGCUGCUGAAAAGGCUGUGACCAAGGAGGCAUUUCAGUGUAGAUGGACAGCUCUAGCUCCUGAGUUUACUGCUGCUCAACCCGAGAUCCCAGACUGGUCUGCGGGUACAGGUGCCCUGGGUGCCUACUCAGCAGGUCCCUCCUAAAGACUGGUCUGCAGCUCCCACUGCUCAGGAAUGGGGAGGGAAGACCGCUGAGUGGUUUUAA